CAACUCCUUCCCUAUUUUCAUGUCCAACUCAGCAACACCUCAGAAUAUCCGUAAUGAUUCAUAAUCUGAUGUGCAUAAGAUUUGAAAAAAUAACUGUGUUGCUUUAUUAAAUCUAUUAGAAUGAAGCACAAGUGCAUUCAAUGUGGGAGUCCAGUCUAAAAGCAAAAGGCUUCGUUGAGGCAGAAUAAUGAGAGCGAGACUGUUAUUUAAAGACUGGAGCCAUGACAACAGAGGACCACUGCUGGUUACCGUGGAGCAGACGAUGUAGCAGAGAACAUGGAUGUUCAUACGGCAGCUGCACAUUUUGAGUGAAGAUCAGUUGCUCUGCAUUUGAAGAUGCUGUGGGUCACCUUCCAUCCACCUUCCAUCCACCAGUCCACCAUGUUUCUACAGUAGCCCAGAAGGGACAAACCAAACACUGUCUCUAGAUAGGGGCAUUAGUGCUUUUUGCACAUUUUGCUGCCAUCAGUUUUUCCUUUCCGCUUGGAAGGGCAGGGUGAUACGAGGAUCUACAUUUACACCGCAAGCUCCAACUAAAUCCUACACACUGGACCUUGAAGUGAACAAUGGGAGCUGGCCCUCAGGUGAGCCAGAGCUCUAUUUUCUUUUUUUUUUUCUUUUUUUUUUUAAAUAAAUGAAUACCAACCAAAAUAAUUGGAUGAUAUUGUACAGUAUCUGUUAAAUACAACCCACAAACGCCUCACAUCGAUAUUAAGAGUAAGACCCAAGCAUGGUGAACAUACACGAUAUAGUUCAAUACAAUUAAAACAUUCAAUACACGUGUGUAAUAUUUUUUGAUGUUUUUAUAUUAUUCAACAUAAGCAUAGUGUAAAAUUAUUUCAUUCUGGAAAUGAUAUGGUUUAGUAUAAUGGCUUCCUUUGGAUAAAGUAUAAAGUUAUCUAAUGAUCCCAUCAGUAGCAAUAAGUCAUUUGGCACUGUUCUGUGAUUGUAGAAAUAUAUUUUGCUAAAAAGUGUAUGUAAAAGUGUAAGGAGGGUUGUUGCCCCACAAUGUUGACUUUAUGGCUACAGCUUUGAUUUUCACCUUCAGACUGCAACACACUUUCUUUAAAAAUGUGAUGCUAUAAGACUAAAGUUUUGCA
rnacentral:lncRNA from 15 species